ACUCCAGCCCUGCAGAGUCAGAAGGCCAGACUUGGAAAUUGGCAUUUUUAGCAAGCAACCCAAUUAAUGACUAGGUACUUCAAGUUGAAAAACACCCUAAUGGCAGACCACCAAGUCCCUUCUAAUGUCAAAAAUAAAGUAUUCUGAAGGAAAAAUUAUGCAUGCAGAAUAGUGCUCCACUCUGCCCAUCUGAGAGUGAGUGCCCACCUCCACUCCCAAGUUUGGGUUCUCAGAUCCAAGUUAUAUUUCAGCUGAUAUCUUUUUAGGUUUUGUUCUCCUAAUCCCAUGCAUCAAAUUACACUCACUGAAGCUGCCAGUCUUCUAAAGUGCUUUCAGAAGGCACAUAAAUCCAACCCUGAGUCCUCAUGAUCCAGACAUUUAAUCACACCAUAAAGUUAAUGGAAUCCAAUUUGAGUGUAGACACCUCAACAGCUACGUUGCAUUGAAUUCACAGCAUUCAUAAAAUGUGGGUCUCAAAAUGAAUCACCGGCCUGACGGAAAGUUCAGAGAAGAACGCCACCCUCUCAUUGGUCACUGUCCUAAUCUUCAGCUGCCAGGAAAAGGACCAGAGCUGUCAACACAACACUGUAGCCCAGGCAACCAGCCAUGCUGCUAGGAACUUUUCAACACUUAAAAAAAUAAAAGUUACUAUGGAAACUCUCAGAGACUCUUUAGAUUGCUUGGACAGUCCAUGGUUUAUAACAGUCAUAAUGCUUCAUGGCCAGCCAUCACCUAUCAACCCUAGGGCCUCCCAUCAUUCACAACCCAGAAAUGGGUUACUUUUGGGAUGCUCCAGACUUUUGCCUUAGGGCGGUGAAGUGUGUUCCUCCGGUGGCACCUGUACUCUGGGCUAAGAGUAAAUAGAUACUGGGUUUCCAAGAGCCCCCAAAUCCAUUAGUUAAUGAAGUAGUAAUGGUGGUGGCCCUCCAGACAUCCAGAUGUGGUGUCAAUGAUGUUUGACUUCCAGGAGUUUCAUCAUCUGUCAAGUGAGGACAGCCAUCCUCCCUCCAGCUCCUCAGGCACAUCCAGGGCCUCCGGAAGAACAGGGCUGCCACUCUAGGAAGUCUUGCUCACCCCUUCCGUUUUGAAACUCCUGAAUUACAGCCACCUCCUGGAGCCAGAGGGAAAGGCUUUGGAUCAUCUGAAAAGGGUAAGUCCUCUUGCAGGUCUACCCAGCACAUUCUGCUACAUUCCCCAGAAGGAUCUUAAAUAAAGAGGGAGAAACUGAACACAUCACCCACAUCCUAAAGCUAGCAUCUUCAAAGUCUUACACAAGGUUUUAGCUUCAAGUCAAAGGGUCCUUCCUCUGGCCAAUAAAAUUCAAAACACUGAAAUGCCAGUCUGUGCCUCUGCUUUACAAUCCUGUUGAAAUUUUUGGCCUCUAACCAUGUUCUGGAAUCUUCCAUUUCAUCCUAGAUUUUUACUUCUUAGUCUGCCAGUAAGAGUUACUUUACC